rnacentral:rRNA from 1 species
CGUGUAGGCGGUCGGGUAAGUCAGAUGUGAAAGCCUUCCGCUUAACGGAAGAAGUGCAUUUGAAACUGCUCGGCUGGAGUACGGGAGAGGAGAGUGGAAUUCCCGGUGUAGAGGUGAAAUUCGUAGAUAUCGGGAAGAACACCAGUGGCGAAGGCGGCUCUCUGGUCCGAUACCUGACGCUGAGACGCGAAAGCGUGGGGAGCAAACAGGAUUAGAUACCCUGGUAGUCCACGCCGUAAACGAUGGGCACUAGGUGUAGGGGGUAUUGACCCCUUCUGUGCCGAAGUUAACGCAUUAAGUGCCCCGCCUGGGGAGUACGGCCGCAAGGCUAAA